CCCCUCUCAAGGUUGCACUUGGAGAGUUUCCAUUACUCUACCAGCCUCAACAACAGGAGGGAAAGUCCAGCAGAGGCCCAUCCAUUCCAUUCCUAGCUUGGGCAAUGGCUGGAAAGUGGAAGGCAAUCUGCUCCAUCC